CAUAGUGGAGCAUGUGUCUUUGUUGUACGUUGGAACAUCUUUUGGGUAUAUGCCCAGGAGAGAUAAAGCUGGGUGCUCAGGUACUGCAAUGUCCAAUAUUCUGAGGAACCUCCAGACUGAUUUCCAGAAUGGUUGUACCCAUUUUCAAUCCCAGCAACAAUGGAGGAGUGUUCCUCUUUCUCCACAUCCUUGCCAGCAUCUAUUUUCACCUGAGUUUUUGAUCUAAGCCAUUCUGACUGGUGUGAUGUGGAAUCUCAGGGUUGUUUUGAUUUGUAUUUCCCCGAUGACCAAGGAUGUUGAACAUUUCUUUAGGUACUUCUCAACCAUUUGAUAUUCUUCAUCUGAGAAUUCUUUGUUUAGCUAAGUACCCCAUUUUUAAAAUAGGGUUAUUUGAUUCUCUGGAGUCUAACUUUGUGAGUUCUUUGUAUAUUUUGUAUAUUAACCUUCUAUCAGAUGUAGGAUUGGUAAAGAUUUUUUUUCCCAAUCCAAACAGUACCUAAACACUGUAAAAGUACAAGACAAGGUUGUCUCAAUGGGUGUAGCGAUAUUGGAAGAGUGUGAAAGAAGAGAAACCAACACAAGACUGGGUGGUCCUUUGAAAGCACACCAGGUACAAUGAACAGAAAAUAAAAGAGGGGCUAGAGAAAUGACUUGGCAUUUAAUACAUCUUGCUGUUCUUGUGAGUGAGCUGGGUUUGGUUCUCAGCACCCACAUGGAGCCUCACAGUCACAUGCUGCUCUGGUUCUAGGGCUUCUAGUGCACCCUACUGUCCUCUGUAGGCACCAGAACACACAAGGGCUAGAUGUGUGCAAACAAAAGCAACCACAGAUUAAAAAAAAUAAUUUCUUUAAAGAAACAGAGGAAUAGACGAGAGAAGGGAAAAGAGAUGAAAAUCUCAAAAAAAAUCAAUGUGCAAAGAAAUCAUUUUUCUAUUUAUUUCUCUC
rnacentral:lncRNA from 1 species